GGAAGUGAUCCGAAUGGUUGAGGGGCCCGUUUCGAACGCGGGUACGGCCUACGGGCUUUGCAGGUUCAAGUCCUGUCACUUCCU
rnacentral:tRNA from 1 species